CUCCGGGCCCUGCCGCGCGCGCGCACCAAACCGGAAAUACCCCACCCGCCGCCAUACCUUCCGCCUGCCCCGCCUCUUUACCCCGAGCUGUAGCCAAUGAAACCAGCGGUGUUGGGUCAUGCGGAGAGCGGCAGAGCCAAUGGGAAGCGGAGGGAGAAGUCCUUCCUGGGGAGGGCGGACGCAGGGGGCGGGGCCUGGGCGGGCCUCUGGUGUCAGUGCGUCCGUCGGGGGACGGGGGCCGUUGCCACAGCGGCCCUGCCCCUUUUUCUCUUACCUUGGCUUUUUUCCCUUCCCUUCACCCUCAGGCUGCAGCUGUGUUUCACCAUACACCGGCAGGGGGUCUGCGUGGGGGCAGCUGCCUCUGGCGCACCAGACUGCUUUGGGCGAGAAGCUGUACCUUGAUCGCUUUUGCAUGGAGUCUACUGCAGCUUUACUUACAUGAGAAAUAAAAGUUUAGAGCACAGAAAGUCCUCCCUGCUGCAUCUGUUUCCCUAUUACGCCUACGACAACACUGGACAGUGAAGCGGCUUGCUGCCAGUGGUGCUGUGCAAGGCUGGCUGCCGUUCAGCACUGGAAGUGUACGCAUGUCCUACUAGAGGCAAAGCUCCAUGAAGGAAAGAGAGAAGAAGAAAACAGCAGUGCAACAUGUUCGUAUUUGUACAUGGCUCUCUUCCAGGCAAUGUGUUACACUGAGACAAGGAGAGUAAAAUAAGGUCUCUGGAGUCUGCUUUGCAAUAAAUUGUAUUUCUGUACUAUUGGA